rnacentral:sRNA from 1 species
AAGGUUCGAUUCGAGCGAAAGCGAGAAAGCGUUGCCGCAGGCAACGACCCGAAGGGCGAAACGCGCAGCGCUGAGUCAUCCUUCCCCCACCACCA